CGGUGGAGUAGUGUGGUUUAAUUCGAUGCAACGCGAAGAACCUUACCUGGUCUUGACAUCCCGGAGACCCUUAGGAAACUAGGGGGUGCUUCCAUCUGGAAGAAUCUGGAGACAGGUGCUGCAUGGCUGUCGUCAGCUCGUGUCGUGAGAUGUUGGGUUAAGUCCCGCAACGAGCGCAACCCUUGCAUUCAGUUGCCAUCGGGUGAAGCCGGGCACUCUGGAAGGACUGCCAUCGACAAGAUGGAGGAAGGUGGGACGACGUCAAGUCAUCAUGGCCCUUAUGUCCAGGGCGACACACGUGCUACAAUGGCCGGCACAACGGGAAGCGAGUUCGCGAGGACGAGCGGAUCCCUUAAAGCCGGUCGCAGUUCGGAUUGAAGUCUGCAACUCGACUUCAUGAAGCUGGAAUCGCUAGUAAUCGCAGAUCAGCCAAGCUGCGGUGAAUACGUUCCCGGGCCUU
rnacentral:rRNA from 1 species